CAAGAAAUUGAGGUACGCAGAAGAUGAACAAACCUGAGAACUGAUGAUCCAAAGAAGAGUCGGAGCUCGAGCAUCACAUAGCCGUCAGCUAUGGUGGCUUGUAGGCGGAUGUGUCUCAGACCUAAGUUUUUGCCGCUGGACCGUGGUUACGUUCAUCCUAGCUUGGAGGCAAUGGUGCGGGUGGGUAUGCAUGUGCAGGGCGAAGAAGUGGACGAAGGCCGAAGUAGCAAUCUCUGCCUCCCUAUCGCUGCGUCCUGCUCCUCAAUAUGUCACCUUAGUCAUGGCCGCCUUAUCCCUCAUGCUGCUGAUUUGAAUCUGCCCUACUCUUCUUCUCCUAGACUGCUCGAGCGCUUCAGCGGGUGCCUUCCCAACGACAGGGAAGGAAGGACCAGAGUAAGUAUAAUAUGGAAGUUCCUGUUCAAAUUAGUAGAAUAUGCUUACCAGGUGUUAGAAUUUAUAGAUAUAUACCACAAUUUUCACUACAGAUUAAAUAUAAUAUGAAAGUUCUUGUCAGUUUUCUUUGUAGUUAGUUUGCGACAAUCACAACAUGAUCAUUUGAAUAUUUUGUUGUAACAAAUCUAUUAUAGCUAUUGUUGUGAAAGAAAAAUCCUUAAAAAAUCACCCAAUAGCAACCCGAGGAAGUUAAGAGACAUAAAUGAUCCAGAUAUGGUUCCAUUAUGCUCCCUCUGUUCGAUAAUAUAUGACGUUUUCUGGCAGUACACAAUGCCAAAAACGUCUUAUAUUAUGGGACAGAAGCGAGUUUGUGAUUUUUUUGGUUAUUCUUGAUUCCACAUGCUUCAUUUGGGUGAAUAAUCCAUUGGCAUCCAAAUUUGGAGAUUAAUUCACCUAUGUAAUGUGCAUAAUCAAUGACACAUUUUUGCUAUGAUGAAUAUGUAAAUAAAUUUUGUACAAUUCCAUAAAUACACAGUUAAGCAUUUUUGUUGUAAAGAUAAUGUAGAUAAUUUUUUAUAGCUUUGCAAAUAAGAUUAACCUUGGUGUAUAAAUCCGAUCAGAGUAGAGGUAGCUAUGCAAUGGUCUUGCGUCACAUCAUUAGUCUAAGGCUCUAACCACAUUCAUGGAGAAUCUAACAUCCCAACUACGCAUAUCUGUUUGUUCCAGAAGCCAAGAAAUUGAGGUACGCAGAAGAUGAACAAACCUGAGAAUUGAUGAUCGAAUGAAGAGUCGGAGCUCGAGCAUCACAUAGCCGUCAGCUAUGGUGGCUUGUGGGCGGAUAUUUCUCAGACCUAAGUUGUUGCCGCUGGACCGUGGUUACAUUCAUCCUAGCUUGGAGGAAAUGGUGCGGGAAGAUAUGCAUGUGCAGGGCGAAGAAGUGGACGAAGGCCGAAGCAGCAAUCUCUGCCUCCCUAUCGCUGCGUCCUGCUCCUCAAUAUGUCACCUUAGUCAUGGCCGCCUUAUCCCUCAUGCUGCUGAUUUGAAUCUGCCCUACUCUUCUUCUCCUAGACUGCUCGAGCGCUUCAGCGGGUGCCUUGCCGACGACAGGGAAGGAAGGACCAGAGCAAGUAUAAUAUGGAAGUUCCUGUUCAAAUUAGUAGAAUAUGCUUACCAGGUGUUAGAAUUUAUAGAUAUAUACCACAAUUUUCACUACAGAUUAAAUAUAAUAUGAAAGUUCUUGUCAGUUUUCUUUGUAGUUAGUUUGCGACAAUCACAACAUGAUCAUUUGAAUAUUUUAUUAUAGCUAUUGUUGUGAAAGAAAAAUCCUUAAAAAAUCACCCAAUAGCAACCUGAGGAAGUUAAGAGACAUAAAUGAUCCAGAUAUGGUUCCAUUAUGCUCCCUCUGUUCGAUAAUAUAUGACGUUUUCUGGCAGUACACAAUGCCAAAAACGUCUUAUAUUAUGGGACAGAAGCGAGUUUGUGAUUUUUUUGGUUAUUCUUGAUUCCACAUGCUUCAUUUGGGUGAAUAAUCCACUGGCAUCCAAAUUUGGAGAUUAAUUCACCUAUGUAAUGUGCAUAAUCAAUGACACAUUUUUGCUAUGAUGAAUAUGUAAAUAAAUUUUGUACAAUUCCAUAAAUACACAGUUAAGCAUUUUUGUUGUAAAGAUAAUGUAGAUAAUUUUUUAUAGCUUUGCAAAUAAGAUUAACCUUGGUGUAUAAAUCCGAUCAGAGUAGAGGUAGCUAUGCAAUGGUCUUGCAUCACAUCAUUAGUCUAAGGCUCUAACCACAUUCAUGGAGAAUCUAACAUCUCAACUACGCAUAUCUGUUUGUUGCAGAAGCCACGAAAUUGAGGUACGCAGAAGAUGAACAAACCUGAGAACUGAUGAUCCAAAGAAGAGUCGGAGCUCGAGCAUCACAUAGCUGUCAGCUAUGGUGGCUUGUAGGCGGAUGUGUCUCAGACCUAAGUUUUUGCCGCUGGACCGUGGUUACGUUCAUCCUAGCUUGGAGGCAACGGUGUGGGUGGGUAUGCAUGUGCAAGGCGAAGAAGUGGACGAAGGCCGAAGAAGCAAUCUCUGCCUCCCUAUCGCUGCGUCCUGCUCCUCAAUAUGUCACCUUAGUCAUGGCCGCCUUAUCCCUCAUGCUGCUGAUUUGAACCUACCCUACUCUUCUUCUCCUAGACUGCUCGAGCGCUUCAGCGGUGCCUCGCUGACGACAGGGAAGGAAGGAUCAGAAGUGACGGCUAUAGCCCUAGGAAUUUGGAAACCAUAGGAAUUGAUCUUCUUUAUAAAACGUGUGUGGCAAGGGACGUGGAACCUGCUUCAGGGAAGACGAGAUGGAUCAUGUGAGAGAAGGGACCAGUUUUUUUUGCCAAUUGCCUAGUCCAUAUUGUCCAUGUAUUCGAAGCAUGCAAACGUGUGGCUCCUGGAGUUUGUAUUGCUCUUGGAUAUGUGUAAGCGUUUGGUUUUUUAUUUUUCCCUUUUUUGCUUUCCAAUUCGGACAUGCAUCAGUUCGUACCUGAUUGUAUUAGACUCAAACAAUACGUGUCCAAGUUUUAUUGCUCUUGGAUAUGUGUAAGCGUUUUGUUUUUUAUUUUUCCCUUUUUUGCUCUCCAAUUCGGACAUGCAUCAGUUCGUAC
rnacentral:lncRNA from 1 species